AGUUAGCAGAGUCAGCAACUUACAUAGUUAAUAAUAUAACACACCCCUACCACAAUAAUCCAUUAGACAACAUUAAAAAAAAAAAAAAAAAACUCUGUGAAAUAUAAAAAGAAGUAAAAGUGAAAAAGCAAAAGCAAAAGAUGAAAAGAAUUGGCAAUUAGUGUAGUGGACAAUAUUUUCAAUUGUAUUAACAUUUUCUCAUUGUCACUCUCACUCUCACUCUCACUCUCACUCAAUUAAAGCUGUUACUUUCACUUAACUGAGAAGGGCGUUGGUGAGAAUCGAAUUUAUAACGUUUUCUCUCGGAGUUGACUUCAAAUUAACCCGAAAUCCCAAUAUAAAAAACUGGAAAUCAGGAACUCAAAAAAUGUGUGAUGCUAAAGAACCAGACAUUGUUAAGACCUCAAAAAAUGCAGAGUUUUCACUGAAAGUGAUGAUAAAUAAAGAGAAAACUAAGGUGCUCUUUGUAGAAGCUAGCAGCCAUUUUACAGACAUUUUGCUAAGCUUCUUGACUUUGCCGUUGGGAAGAAUCAUCAAAGUCCUCCACAAACACUAUGGAGACGAGACACCCACCGUUGGAAGCUUAAACAGUUUGUACCGUAGCUUAGCAAAUCUCGAUAGCCCCCAUUUCGUGACAGAGGGUGCCAAGCAGACUCUGCACAAUCCAACAAGUUCGUUCGAAGAUGGAAUCAAACAGCUGAAACUAGAUAUCACUGAUUCUCCUCCUAACGAAUAUUAUAAAUGUACCUAUUCCAAUUGUUGUUAUAGAUUUCGCCGUGUAAGCAUGUGCUAUGAUAAUGUCGAGCGUUGCAAGAAAUGCGGGGACGCCAACGACAUUAUAAUAGAACAAGAUGAAGAAGUGCUGCCUGAAGGUGCUUCUGGAAAUGGUGUUUUCACCGUGGAUAUAGCUUCUUUCAUAAUCUUUGAUGAUUUGCAGAUAUUUCCAAAUGAGACGGGACUCUUAGGAAUCAUAAGCACUAUUGGCAUUGCAGACAUGGAGAAGGCUGAGCCAGUUAAAGUAACUUUUGGGUUCAAUGAGAUUAUGAGUUUGUUGAAGGCAUCAUUGAUUUCCCAAACUCCAUUGUCGGAUGUCAUACUGUGUAAAGCAAAAGGGGUCAGGAACUUUGUUAUUGUGGGAUUUGAACCCGAGACCUCGUUAAACGAGACUGAGACUAAAUAUGGUCCCAACUCUGAAAAGAUGAUUUUGAAAGUCGUGAUACAAAAAUCUACCGGCAAGUUAUUGUAUGCACAAGGCAAGGAAGAUUUCUUCGACUUUCUAUUUAGUUUCCUCCAUAUCCCACUAGGAGGAGUUGAGCAUCUUCUAGCCGGAAAGACUUGUGUUAAAGCCAUAGACAACUUGUAUCGGAGCACAAGUGAUCUUAUAGACUGCAAGUAUUUCAGGAGCCAAGAUGCGAAAAAUAGGCUAAUCAAACCCAACGUUAUUCACGGUUGUAUCUCUGAUAACUACAUUCUUCCCCUCACUCAAGAAACCUUGCCCGAUGAUUAUAGGAAAUUCUCAUGGCAUUCAUCUGCUAAGUUUCCUAAUGGCAACGGGAGUUAUCUUAAAGGACCGCAAACUUAUCAGAUCACAGAUGAUCUAACUGUGACACCACUCUGUGUUUUCUCAAUCCUUUCCAAUCUCAAUAAGCAGAAUAUCCAUGUAUCUGAUGUCCAAGAAGUGGAAAUGCAAAUCGGGCCGAAAGAGGCUAUGAGCAUACUGAAAGCCUCUCUUACAUCUACUUCCGUGCUCUCUGAUGCUCUGCUCAAUAACACAUCCAUCAAACAACCAAAGACAGAGCACUGAGUUUGAUCAUUGUUUUACUGCCUAUAUAAGUAAACUUGUUUGCUUGCACUACAUAAUUGUGGAUCUUGAUUUCACUCGUUUUUGGCUUAUAUUAGUACCUUUAGUUUGUUACUGUAUUUGUUCAAAGGAGACUUUUAUUCUAUAGAAGUGUCGCCGAUAAUUUUAAUAGUAUGCAUCUGAAAGAUUCAGAUACCAAAGACUUGCUAAUCAAGCCAAAGCAUCCUAAUUGCUAUUUGUUCAAUGGAAACAGACUUGUCUUAUGAAUUUCAAUCAGGUUGGAAAUCAAUCUUAUGUCCACGGACCGAGGAUGUAUAUGGGUUUAAGCAUAUUGAAAGCGGCUCUUACAUCGACCACGGCUCUGACUGAUGGCCUCAUCAAACUGUAUAUAAAGGAACGAGAAAGGGAGCAGUCAAAGAGUUGUUGAUUGAAUCAUUCAAUCCAUCUUAUCUUGAGAAGGCUAUGGAAAUGGAAAUGGAACUGAAGUUGCAUGUCAAGGUUGUGAUAAAUAAGGAGAAAACGAAGGUACUAUUUGCAGAAGCUGACAGUAAUUUCGCAGAUGUGUUGUUAAGCUUCUUACUUCUGCCAUUGGG